rnacentral:tRNA from 1 species
CCAGAAUUGGCUCAGAGGGAAAAGCGUCUGCCUGCAAUGCGGGAGACCUGGGUUCAACCCCUGGCUCGGGA